rnacentral:rRNA from 1 species
UUUGGUGGCGAUAGCGAAGAGGUCACACCCGUUCCCAUGCCGAACACGGAAGUUAAGCUCUUCAGCGCCGAUGGUAGUCGGGGGUUUCCCCCUGUGAGAGUAGGACGCGCCGCCAAGC